CCUCGGGAGGCAGCAGUGGGGAAUCUUGGACAAUGGGGGCAACCCUGAUCCAGCCAUGCCGCGUGAGUGAAGAAGGCCCUAGGGUCGUAAAACUCUUUCGCCUGUGAUGAUAAUGACAGUAGCAGGUAAAGAAACCCCGGCUAACUCCGUGCCAGCAGCCGCGGUAAUACGGAGGGGGUUAGCGUUGUUCGGAAUUACUGGGCGUAAAGCGCACGUAGGCGGAUUAGAAAGUUAGAGGUGAAAUCCCGGGGCUCAACCCCGGAACUGCCUUUAAAACUACUAGUCUAGAGUUCGAGAGAGGUGAGUGGAAUUCCGAGUGUAGAGGUGAAAUUCGUAGAUAUUCGGAGGAACACCAGUGGCGAAGGCGGCUCACUGGCUCGAUACUGACGCUGAGGUGCGAAAGUGUGGGGAGCAAACAGGAUUAGAUACCCUGGUAGUCCACACCGUAAACGAUGAAUGCCAGUCGUCGGGUAGUAUACUAUUCGGUGACACACCUAACGGAUUAAGCAUUCCGCCUGGGGAGUACGGUCGCAAGAUUAAAACUCAAAGGAAUUGACGG
rnacentral:rRNA from 1 species